CCAGCAGUGCCUGAGGGGGCCGCGGUCGAGCGGGCGCCCGUGAGGGCCGUCCCGGCAGCGCGACGCCUGCGAACCCCCUCCCCCUCCCGCCCUGUCACGGCACCAGCGCUCCAGCCCGCCCUUGCAUAUCCUCAUUUAGGAUCCCGAAAUCACCUUUCGCGCGUGCCCUGGAUUUAAUCUCCCUCCGUCCCACACGAUGCCCGCAGCGGCGUGCCCUAGAUAACAUGGGCAGGGAGAGGGACUUCACUGCAGUGCUGCCUGGGGGAAGGGAGGAGAGGCCACCUUUCCAAAUUGUCAUGAUCACAAGAAAUUCUUGUGAUUCUCCAAGCGGCUCCCUGGCUCUAGCAACAAGGAUGCCGUGCUGGGAUUUAAGCUGCUGAACAAAAGAAGGGAGCAAAUAUUGCCAAGUUGGUUCCCGAGAGCACAGGUGGAUACUGAGGAGCCUCUCCCACGAAUGAAUAAAUUCGCAGAAGUCUCAUGCUGCAGCCACAGGCUUUUCCUGUCAGCAGCGGCUGCUGCUCCCUCGGCAGGAUGGGCUGCAGCGAACCUACUAUACAGUGCUGCGAGCCGGGAAAGGGAGGGGUGUGCUCCGCUGGGAUCCGCCCGUCUGCAUCCAACAGAGCCGCGAGAGCGACGGCAGAGGCAUUCCCAUUCGUGCUAGCAGAAAAAAAAGACAUCUUCCUCUCAGUUACCCGAGACCAUUCACACUGGCAGCGCAGCCAUUACUUGGAAAUUUCCGUUCCUCCUCACAUGAGACAUCUUGUGCUGCACAUCCCACAAAUCGAGCCUACUGCUCUAAGUCUGUGUGGAGGCUCCAGGCCCACCCGCAAGGUUUGAUUCUUGCACCAAACCCAGCUUGCCAUCUGCCUGGAGGGCUGCAGCGCUAUUGGAAGCCCAGAGCUAAGGAAGACAUAGGAAAUCCUGAGAACAAAGGAAAUAUGCCAAAGAGCACCUCCAGAGCUGUUUUUUCCAAUUCAAAGCAAGCCAAAUCUACUCUGGCAUCUAGCUUUAGAGACUUCUAUCCCACCCCUGGGUAAAUGUAAUUUUUUGGAGGAUUAAUUCAGAUGGUUAUGAAUGACCCUAUUUACGGGGUCUCUGCUAUGUUUGUGCCUCCUAAGGCUCUCUGGAACAAGUAAUAAUUUUCUGGGGCACUGCCAUCCACAAGAUAAACUGCAGAUACGAGCAUUCCUGAAAGAGCCAAUCUUGGGAGCUGCCAGGGACAGGACUGUUGUGGUGGGAAAUGAGUCAGCUGGAGCUGUCAUCUGGUCUGGUCCCUGCUCUUGUCUUUGCUGCAUCUGGAGCUGUUUUCAGGAAACACCACUCCUGUUCCAGAGGCACCAGGACAGACUGCUCUUGCCUGGAGGAGGAACCACAAGAAACAAGAGGUGACAAUCAAUUUGGGAAGGGAGAGAAGUUAUGUGGAAUGGACAGGUCCUGUCCUGUCCACUCCCAUCCUGGGGAGAAAAGGGUGAGGCUGAAUGAGACAUGGCUCAGCUUCUGACCAGAGCCCGCAGCUUUCAAGGAAGCCCCAAUAGCUGUGUGUCCACAGGACCUCUGCCCAGAGCCAUCCCAUAGUACCCAACCAAGUCUGUUCAGUGCCUUCCUCCACCACAUAUCAAACAGCUGUGUGCUUCAGCCACCAUGCCCACAGCCUUUCCGCCUCCACUUCCCUCCAGCUAGUCACUCCCAGCCAGGCCUCUCUGACUAUUUAGCUUGUUGCUUUCUGGCCCAUGUUUUCCCCCCCAGCUGCCCUACAUAGCUGCAUCCUCUGUGCCCAGCCAGUGACCAACACACCUCCCCAGCUCAUGCAUGUCAGGAACUCUCUGCUGCUCACUGUGCACAGGACACUACACAACAUGACCCUGUUCCUGGUUGCAAUGGCAGCAGCAAACACAAUGAAGAGGAUGACAGCAUUUGCAUCAUAUGCUGUCACUGCCCAGAAAUAUUUCUCUGUAGUGUAGUAGGCAGACUCCAUUACAGGAUUGCUUAGGAUUCUCAUCUGCAGCAAACUCCUUCUGCCAGGCUGCUGUGUGAUGGCAUUAACCAUCUUCAAUAAGAAGCCUUCCUCCCACGUCUCAGGGGUUUCUACCCUGCUCCUCUCAAUCUUCCACAGAACCUGGAUUUUUCCUGGCUGAUCUGGGUCUCUCUGCCUUGUCUUUGUAUCUGCUGAAGUUCCUAGGAAGAUCAAAUUAUUGAAAUCACCACUCCUUUUCUUCCUCUCCAAAAUACAAGUUUAUUUCAGUGAAGAAACAUGGUUUACAGCUGAGGCUCAAACCUGCAAGGAAAACAGGUGUUCUUCUCCUGAUGCUUUGUCUUUCUCACAAUUUGACAAUUUUGGUUUCAGUUGUACUGGAAAAGCUACCUUCAACUCUUGCCAGCAUGGCCUCAACAAUCUUUGGAAUGUAAAACUAACAUCUCUCACAUUGUAUGUAUUCAAUUGACGCCCCUCGGAAGUGCGCAUGGCUCCUCAUUCCCCCUGCACUACAAGAAUUUGUUCAGGCCUCUUCUUUGGCCAGAAGGACAUGAGUUCUUAUGUCUGUAUGAAGGCACAUCAAGGAGACGUGUGACAUAUCUUGUCUCUUCAGGCCUCACUGGAUAUGACCUUCUGGUCACUACCAGUUUAUACAGCAGUAACAGGGCAUAUCCAUGGGACGCUUGUGUCUUCACAUCUCCAGUUCUGAUUUUAUCAAGAAUCUAGAUUAAUCUGCAUUGUGAUGGAUUCAAAAAAUAAAGAAGGUGGAUUUAUUAAUAAAUGUUUUCACAGUGACCUCUUUCCCAAAUGCAUUUCCUCACACAGCAUCCUCUCUAGGAGGAAAGUGCACGGACGCUUCCCAUGGCCCAAGCUGUGUGCCACUCAGUGAGUAGGGCUAAGGACAUGCUCCCUAGCAGGGUGCACACUGCCAGGCAAAAGAACUGGCCAACCCAGUUCAACAGAGCAGCCUACACAGAAGAAUCUCUAGCUGAAGGUAUUUACCCAAUUAUUGGAGGUUUCAAAACACAGGUUACCCAAACACCUGAAACUAUGUGUUAAUGCAUAGCUGGCACUAGGGGGAAAGAAAAACAUCUUAAAUACACCUAAAGUUCACUAGAACUUUGUGUCUGAUGAAGAACUUCAUCAACUGUUAAUAUGCACAUAGGCAAUUUUCCACUCAGCAAGAAGAGUAGCAGAUUGUACUUAAAGAU